ACGCUGGCGGCGUGCCUAAUACAUGCAAGUAGAACGCUGAAGAGAGGAGCUUGCUCUUCUUGGAUGAGUUGCGAACGGGUGAGUAACGCGUAGGUAACCUGCCUUGUAGCGGGGGAUAACUAUUGGAAACGAUAGCUAAUACCGCAUAACAAUGGAUGACACAUGUCAUUUAUUUGAAAGGGGCAAAUGCUCCACUACAAGAUGGACCUGCGUUGUAUUAGCUAGUAGGUGAGGUAACGGCUCACCUAGGCGACGAUACAUAGCCGACCUGAGAGGGUGAUCGGCCACACUGGGACUGAGACACGGCCCAGACUCCUACGGGAGGCAGCAGUAGGGAAUCUUCGGCAAUGGGGGCAACCCUGACCGAGCAACGCCGCGUGAGUGAAGAAGGUUUUCGGAUCGUAAAGCUCUGUUGUAAGUCAAGAACGAGUGUGAGAGUGGAAAGUUCACACUGUGACGGUAGCUUACCAGAAAGGGACGGCUAACUACGUGCCAGCAGCCGCGGUAAUACGUAGGUCCCGAGCGUUGUCCGGAUUUAUUGGGCGUAAAGCGAGCGCAGGCGGUUUGAUAAGUCUGAAGUUAAAGGCUGUGGCUCAACCAUAGUUCGCUUUGGAAACUGUCAAACUUGAGUGCAGAAGGGGAGAGUGGAAUUCCAUGUGUAGCGGUGAAAUGCGUAGAUAUAUGGAGGAACACCGGUGGCGAAAGCGGCUCUCUGGUCUGUAACUGACGCUGAGGCUCGAAAGCGUGGGGAGCGAACAGGAUUAGAUACCCUGGUAGUCCACGCCGUAAACGAUGAGUGCUAGGUGUUGGAUCCUUUCCGGGAUUCAGUGCCGCAGCUAACGCAUUAAGCACUCCGCCUGGGGAGUACGACCGCAAGGUUGAAACUCAAAGGAAUUGACGGGGGCCCGCACAAGCGGUGAAGCAUGUGGUUUAAUUCGAAGCAACGCGAAGAACCUUACCAGGUCUUGACAUCCCGAUGCUAUUUCUAGAGAUAGAAAGUUACUUCGGUACAUCGGUGACAGGUGGUGCAUGGUUGUCGUCAGCUCGUGUCGUGAGAUGUUGGGUUAAGUCCCGCAACGAGCGCAACCCCUAUUGUUAGUUGCCAUCAUUCAGUUGGGCACUCUAGCGAGACUGCCGGUAAUAAACCGGAGGAAGGUGGGGAUGACGUCAAAUCAUCAUGCCCCUUAUGACCUGGGCUACACACGUGCUACAAUGGUUGGUACAACGAGUUGCGAGUCGGUGACGGCAAGCUAAUCUCUUAAAGCCAAUCUCAGUUCGGAUUGUAGGCUGCAACUCGCCUACAUGAAGUCGGAAUCGCUAGUAAUCGCGGAUCAGCACGCCGCGGUGAAUACGUUCCCGGGCCUUGUACACACCGCCCGUCACACCACGAGAGUUUGUAACACCCGAAGUCAAUGAGGUAACCUUUUGGAGCCAGCCGCCUAAGGUGGGAU
rnacentral:rRNA from 1 species